rnacentral:sRNA from 1 species
AAGACUAUAUGUCAUGUGUAGUAUUGAGUAUAAAAACUAGAACCGCAACUGGUUCCCAAAAGCAAAAGUUAUGUUUCCUUGUUAGAAGAUACAAAGCCAAAGACUCAUACGGACUUCGGCUACACCAUGAAAAUUUUGAGAAGCAAUAAGAAGCUUGGUUAGUGUUUUGGAGUCAAAUAUGACUAGAUGUCAUGUGUAUGAUUGAGUAUAAGAACUAGAACCGCAACCGUUUCCCAAAAGCUAAAGUAGUGUUUCCUUGUUAGAAGCUACAAAGCCAAAGACUCAUACGGACUUCGUGUACACCAUCAAAAUUUUGAGAAGCAAUAAGAAGCUUGGUUAGUAUUUUAGAGUGAAAUAUUACAGGAUAUCAUGUGUAUCAUUGAGUAUAAGAACUAGAACCGCAACCGAUUCCCAAAAGCUAAAGUAAUGUUUCUUGUUUGUAGAUACAAAUCCAAAGACUCAUACCGACUUCGGCUACACCAUCAAAGCUUUGUGAGGCAAUAAGAAGCUUGGUUAGUUUUUCGGAAUCAAAUAUGGCUAGAUGUCAUGUGUAUGAUUGAGUAUAAGAACUAGAACCGCAACUAAUUCCGAAAAGCUAAAUUAAUGUUUCCUUGUUAGAAGAUACAAAGCUAAAAACUCAUACGGACUCCGGCUAAGCCAUUAAUGUUUUGAGAAGCAAUAAGAAGCUUGGUUAUUU